CACCUUUCUUAUUUAUUUUCGCCAUUGUGGGUUUAUUUGUCCUCAGCACACUGAUUUGGCUGAAGCAAAUGGUCAGAAGUCCACACAUACCUCAGUCUCUGCAAUUACAGGUCAACCAGAGCAGUAUUCUCUAAUGCAGUGGACUUGUAAGUACUGCACAUUUUCUGCUGGAAAGAGAGGCUACUUGCUUAAGCAUUACCGCUUAAAACAUGGAUACCACACUCGGACAUCCCUACUCCCCAUGUCUUCAUAAGGACUGCCUCUGCACAUUUAAAUCUUUUAAUGCACUCAAAGUACACCUAUCGACAUGCCACUCUCAAAAAGAUGCAGACAAAAGUGGAGAAACUGCAUUUGACUGUCAGUUGUGCAACUUUGUGGAGCCUUGUUAAGAAGCAGACUUCUUUACCCAUUUGCGAAGACAUCUUAAGCUGAGGCAAAUGGUUACUUGCAUAUAUCAAGACUGUAACUUUCAGAGCACUGUUUAUUCUACCUUCACUGCACACAAAAGCAGAAAUGUGAAAUGAGUUUGAACCAUAGUAUGGGUAGGACAUUUGUGUCUAAAUCAUUCAAUCCCAAUAAAAGUUGCUUCAAUCAAAAAAAAUAUUUUUAAUGAAAGAAAAAGAAUCUCUUGCUAAAAUGU